rnacentral:rRNA from 1 species
UACAGAGGUCCCAAGGCGUUGUUCGGAUUCACUGGGCGUAAAGGGUGCGUAGGUGGUUGGGUAAGUCUGAUGUGAAAUCUCCGAGCUUAACUCGGAAAUGGCAUUGGAUACUAUUCGGCUAGAGGGUUUGAGGGGGACUGGAAUACUUGGUGUAGCAGUGAAAUGCGUAGAUAUCAAGUGGAACACCAGUGGCGAAGGCGAGUCCCUGGAAAACUCCUGACACUGAGGCACGAAAGCUAGGGGAGCAAACAGGAGU